GGGGAAUAUUGCACAAUGGGGGAAACCCUGAUGCAGCGACGCCGCGUGAGUGAAGAAGUAUUUCGGUAUGUAAAGCUCUAUCAGCAGGGGAAGAAAAUGACGGUACCUGACUAAGAAGCCCCGGCUAACUAC
rnacentral:rRNA from 1 species